AUUACAUGUUAUGUGAAAUUUGGUUUCAGGGUUUAUAUAAGUCCGUUGGGUUUUCUGAUUUAUCACUCAACAACUCCCUGUUUACCAAAAUAUUUCGACGAGGAUAUCAUCAGUGAGCAGUAGCUCACAGUUUUACUGGUUUUUAAACAGCUUUACUGUAGACUAAGUUAUGUCCUCCCUGAGGUUAGCAGCAGGGCAUUUAAUAUACAUAUAUAUGUCAAUAUACACCAUGACUUUUAAGGAAAAAUCACUUCACACACUAUUAUAAGAUCAAAAAAGACAGUUGACCAUCAUUUCCUCAUGAUAAUGACACU
rnacentral:lncRNA from 1 species